UCCGGUUUGACACCGGCAGUCUCCUAUGAGUCCCCGACAUAACUCGCUGGCAACAUAGAACGAGGGUUGCGCUCGUUGCGGGACUUAACCCAACAUCUCACGACACGAGCUGACGACAACCAUGCACCACCUGUACACCGCCCUUGCGGACCCCGUAUCUCUACGAGUUUUCGGUGUAUGUCAAGCCUUGGUAAGGUUCUUCGCGUUGCGUCGAAUUAAACCACAUGCUCCGCCGCUUGUGCGGGUCCCCGUCAAUUCCUUUGAGUUUUAGUCUUGCGACCGUACUCCCCAGGCGGGGCACUUAAUGCGUUAGCUACGGCACGGAUCCCGUUGGUAAGGACCCACACCUAGUGCCCAACGUUUACGGCAUGGACUAC
rnacentral:misc_RNA from 1 species